CGGGGAUCCGGAAGGCGUUGUCGGUGACAUCACGGAGAGGGCGAUUUCUAUGUAGAUGAGGCAGCGCAGGGGCUGCUGCUUCGCCACCUGCUGCUUCGCCACGAAAGAGUUCCCGUGCCGUGGGAGCAAGUCUGGGACCUCUGGUCGGAACGGAGAGUCGCAGCUGUGUGUUAGGGCUAGGAUGGCUCCGGGAUGCGCGUGAGGCAAGUGACCUUGCGUGUAAAGGGGCCCGCCUGGCAGGACGACUGAGCAAGUCCUUGGAAAACCAGAGAUAUUAGAGCGGUGAAUCGCGCUGGUCACGUUGGACACCUGCGCGUUAGGAGAUUCUGGAGCCAGAGGGAGAGACCCCAGAAACUCCCCGGUCGGCGACCCAGCCCGAGACGCCUGGGGUCCCAAGGGAAGCUGAACGCCCGGUGGGCUCCCGGGAUGGUUCUUCCGGUUCUUUGUGCCGCCUUCACCCAGUGAAGGAGCCUGUAUCCACCCUGCCCAGUCGCUGUUGGGCUGCUGCGGAGCUUCCGCUGCCAUCUUCGGAUCCUGUGUUCCGCCCGGGGCUCCACCAGGGCAGGGAUGGUGGUGAGGGUCGCUCGUGGGUCCCCUGGCAGGGAGCAGGGUCUGGCACUCACAAGGGCGCACGACUAGGACUUGUCGAAUGAAUCCUUUGUCGCCUUUAGCUUUUAGUCCUUUGAAGAGAGCAGAAUGGGGAAAUGGAGAGAGAACCUGAAAGAGCCCCAAACUCGAGGACCUAUUGCUCCCCAAGAAUAACAUCUUCCAGAACUAGACAGAAAACUAGGCGUCUGGGAACCCUGAAAUCCUUGGAGGAGUAGAUCAUCAUGACCCUCUGUGUUCCUUUUGGCAAAUGACUUGCUUCCAUUGUUUGUUUGUUCAAUUGUCUGUUUGUUAAAUAAAUAAAACCCUUUUCAUGUAUCUUUAAAAUUACAUUGGUUCUAUUAUUUUAUGAUUACAAACGAUGCUGCAGUCAUCAUUCUUGUACACUUCUCAUUGGCCACUGGUGUAUUUCUAUAGGGUGGAGGCCUGGAGAGCAGUUGUUCCAGCAUAGUGUUUACAUAGCUUUUAUUUAAUUCCGUUUUCUUUCCUUUGUUGCUUUAUUAGCUAUAACCCUUCUCUUAUUUCAGUGGCAGCUUUAGGGUUUCUGGGAUACAUCUUUAAUUUAUCACAUUCUGCUUUCAAGUGCAAUUAUACCUCCCUUUCUGGCCUUUAUCCUAGUGUUACGUAUUUUUACUUUAUGCAUUAUAAGUUUUGUGAUUAUCAUUACUUUCAUUUAUUAUGUCAAAUAUUUUUAAAAAGAUUUAAAUUAUAAGAAAAUGUGUAGUACAUGCUUUCUAAAUGCCAUUUCCAAUAUUUGUUUUUGUAUAGGUCCAGAUUUUUAUCUGGGAUCCUUUUGCUUCUGCCUGGAGGACUUUUAAUAAGAUUUCUUGUAACGUGGGUUGGUGAAUUGUUUUAGCUUUUGUAUGUUUUUCGAUGUCCUUAUUUC
rnacentral:lncRNA from 1 species